AUUGAACGCUGGCGGCAGGCUUAACACAUGCAAGUCGAGCGGGGGGAGGUAGCUUGCUACCGGACCUAGCGGCGGACGGGGGAGUAAUGCUUAGGAAUCUGCCUAUUAGUGGGGGACAACAUCUCGAAAGGGAUGCUAAUACCGCAUACGUCCUACGGGAGAAAGCAGGGGAUCUUCGGACCUUGCGCUAAUAGAUGAGCCUAAGUCGGGUUAGCUGGUUGAUGGGGUAAAGGCCUACCAAGGCGACGAUCUGUAGCGGGUCUGAGAGGAUGAUCCGCCACACUGGGACUGAGACACGGCCCAGACUCCUACGGGAGGCAGCAGUGGGGAAUAUUGGACAAUGGGGGGAACCCUGAUCCAGCCAUGCCGCGUGUGUGAAGAAGGCCUUAUGGUUGUAAAGCACUUUAAGCGAGGAGGAGGCUACUCUAGUUAAUACCUAGGGAUAGUGGACGUUACUCGCAGAGUAAGCACCGGCUAACUCUGUGCCAGCCGCCGCGGUAA
rnacentral:rRNA from 1 species